rnacentral:rRNA from 1 species
AGUUGUAAUUUGAAGAUUGCGUCUUGGAGGCGACCGUGUCUACUGUUCCUUGGUAACAGGACGUCGACAGAGGGUGAGAAUCCCGUGCGGCACGGCCCCCGGCUCCUUAUAAGGCGCUCUCGACGAGUCGAGUUGUUUGGGAAUGCAGCUCAAAGUGGGUGGUAAAUUCCAUCUAAAGCUAAAUACAGGCGAGAGACCGAUAGCGAACAAGUACAGUGAUGGAAAGAUGAAAAGCACUUUGAAAAGAGAGUGAAACAGCACGUGAAAUUGUUGAAAGGGAAGGGCAUGCCGUCAGAUUGUCAGUGUGGGUAAGAAGCGGGGUACAAAGACUGUGGAACGUGGCCCUCGGGUGUUAUAGCCGCAGUUCAUGCCCCGUCUCUUUCCGAGGCCUGCUUUGAGGACACCGACGUAAUGACGGUACGCCGCCCGUCUUGAAA